ACUCAUUUUCCCUCCAUUACCUUUCAGUCCCUCAGUCCUCCCACUCCAACAGGACCUUACUCUUCAUGAGUUUUCUCUCUCCGGCAGAAUGACCGCUCUCUCCUCAUUCCACCACCAUAUGAUGUCACUCUCCGCCGCGCUCUCUGCUCGGUUACUGUCUCUAUCUUUCUAUCACCAAUCCGACACCGGCGGAGGAGAAUCUCGUACCGUCAUAUCCUACCACCACCACCCCUCAUUUUAUGCAAUUGGAAGGUGUUCUGUAGAUCCAUAUUGCACCACUCUCCAGAACCAGAUUAAUUGCAGGGCUACUGGCCACUUUAAACAGGCUAAUUAAAUUUGCUGUCGCUCCUUGUCACUCUAAUGCAUCAGUUUCUCAAGAAUUAUUAGGGUGCAGAAUCUUCAGAAUUUGGCAUUAGUGCAAACUCUGCUUCCCACUGAAUAUGAGAGAUGUUUCUUUCUUUCCUUUCAAAUGGGAGUUUGGAUGGCAGGAAUUUGGUGAAUCUAUUUCGCGUUCUCCUCCGUGAUGACAUAUAUUGCAAGGCUACUGGACAAAUUUUAUGGAAACUGACUUCACAGAUUUGUAAGUUCUAAGUAUUCGGUAAUUUUACCUGCAUUAACAGAUUGUAAGAUUUUCAUUGUACAUCUCUUCAUAUGCAUCUUUAAUUCGAUAAGAUCACAGAUUAAGAUCAUGUAGAUGAUGAUAGUAAUGAAUGUGGUGGAUCUUGCCCAAUAUAAAUGCAAGGGGUCGAGGUUUGAAACUUCAAAUCUCUUGUUUAAUACAAGUGCACUCAAUCAACGCAUCACAACAAAGAGUUUGUAUGUACGGAGUACAUUUUAGGUGACAUUUGGCGCCGGGCUUCGACCAAACCCUGAUGGAAGACUAUUGGAAGACUAGAUGAUGAUAGUAAUGAAUGUGGUGGAUCUUGCCCAAUAUAAAUGCAAGGGGCCGAGGUUUGAAACUUCAAAUCUCUUGUUUAAUACAAGUGCACUCGAUCAACGCAUCACAACAAAGAGUUUGUAUGUACGGAGUACAUUUUAGGUGACAUUUGGCGCCGGGCUUCGACCAAACCCUGAUGGAAGACUAUUGUAAACCAGGGGCCCACACGUAAGUUUUUGCUAUUAUAAUUCGUGAAAUCUGAAUUGAGUUCGGUGGUCACAUAAAAUUAGAUAAGAUAUGACAUUAAGAUGAUGCGAAAUAUAAGAUAAGAUGAUAAAUAAGUUGAAAUAAUAUUACUCCCUCCGUCCCGGAAUACUCGACCCGGUUUGACCGGCACAGAGUUUAAGGGAUUUGAAUUGACUUAUUUAAUUUAAUAGGUAGUAGUUGAUAGUGGGGUAUUAUUUUAAUGUAGUUAGUGGGAGGUGGGUUAAGAGGUGGGGUUGGGGGAGAGUAGGGGUUGAAUUUUUAAUUAUUUUUUGUAUGGAGUAGGGGGUAGGUGGGUUAAUAGGGGUGGAGUGAGAAAUAAUAUAAUAUUGUUAGAAUAUUUCCAUUUUUAGAAACAGGUCAAGUAUUAAGGGACGGCCCGAUAAGGAAAACAGGUCAAGUAUUCCGGGACGGAGGGAGUAUGAAAUUUCUUACAAAGAUAAUUUUACUGAUAUGUAUAGUAUGACAAUCAUUACCUAAUCAAGGUUUAAUCACAAAUUGUGGCACCUUAUAAAGGGGUAUAAAUGAAUAAUUAAGUUCUCUAAACUUAAUUU